CAAAGUGAUGAUGAUGAGAGGCCAACAAGAUACUUUGUGAUUUCAAUGUAACUAUGGAAUAAUGAUCCAUACAAUUGAAGUUUUAAUUAAGUUCGUGUCAGACGAAAAAAAAUGUAAUGAAUUGGAAAA